UGGUAAUGCCGGAUGCUCCAGUUGAUCGCAUGGUCUUCUGGGAAAGCUUUCGCGGUAUGGGAUGGGGUCGCGUCCUAUCAGCUUGACGGCGGGGUAACGGCCCACCGUGGCUUCGACGGGUAGCCGGCCUGAGAGGGCGACCGGCCACAUUGGGACUGAGAUACGGCCCAGACUCCUACGGGAGGCAGCAGUGGGGAAUAUUGCACAAUGGGCGCAAGCCUGAUGCAGCGACGCCGCGUGAGGGAUGGAGGCCUUCGGGUUGUAAACCUCUUUUAUCGGGGAGCAAGCGAGAGUGAGUUUACCCGUUGAAUAAGCACCGGCUAACUACGUGCCAGCAGCCGCGGUAAUACGUAGGGUGCAAGCGUUAUCCGGAAUUAUUGGGCGUAAAGGGCUCGUAGGCGGUUCGUCGCGUCCGGUGUGAAAGUCCAUCGCUUAACGGUGGAUCCGCGCCGGGUACGGGCGGGCUUGAGUGCGGUAGGGGAGACUGGAAUUCCCGGUGUAACGGUGGAAUGUGUAGAUAUCGGAAAGAACACC
rnacentral:rRNA from 1 species